AGGCAUUGGGAAGGGGAAGGCAGAAAAGCAGAGUGCAAAAUGAAGUGGUAGUGGGUGCUAACUAACAAGAGAAACUUUGAACACGAUGGGACAGAAAUAAGGUCAUGCAUUUUCUACUAUCUGUCACCUGUGGACAACUUGCCACUUCAACAGUUCUGGACACUUUUAAGCUCCCCGAGGAGAAGAUAGGAAACUUGGACACCCUGUGUGGGAUUGAGAAUCACAAGGGGACAGUCUCGCACCUGGUCAAGAUAAAACUGAACUGAACUCUUCAUUCACAAGUGGGAUUCUCGUAAGAGGCAGGAAAGCAGGGACCGUCUGUCACUACCCACAGCAGGAAGAGGUGAACCUUAAUGAGGGAAGAAAACAGAUUCUAUUAGGGGAAAAAAACAUUUAAUCAGAAAAUAAGGCUCUGGAAAGAAAAGGCCAAUUGGGGCUUUGUCUGAAGAAAUAACAGAGUAUUUUUCUGCCAGAGAAAGCAAGUCCAAGGAAGGAAUUUUCAGAUUGACCAAAGAGUAUUGGUCAGCAUCAUUAGUACUUUCAGUGAGAAAUAAUUGAAAAUAAACUAGAGCAAAA
rnacentral:lncRNA from 1 species